CUAGGACAGGUUUGAGGGGCCCCACUGCCCAUUUCCCCUCCAGCGCCUGGGGGCGCCCUCUAGCCCCAGAUACCCGCCUCUUAGCUCUGCUUUUCCUAAAACCCAGCACAGCAGCCCUAGCCAGACUCAGGUCGGCCCUUUCCCCUCUCCCUUCCCCUUCUUCCCUUCUCCCCUCCCCCUCCUUUUCUCCCUCCCCCACUGCGUUACCUCAGUCUUUAAAGACCCGCAGGCAGGAGGAUUCCUUCCGCCCCCAGCUCCUGGAGAACCCAAGACCAGUUCCUUCCUGGCCUUCGGGGUCCCAUCAAAGCAGGCCUGAGCAGACUGACCCCUUUUACGAUUGAGGCAGGUGUGGCCAGAGAGAGAGGAAAUCAGAGAACUAAACGCUGGGUCUUCAGUACACGGGAAGGGUAGGAUUCACUCGCAGAGGUCGAAGAAUAGAGAGGAGAGAAUUCUCCCACAUGCCCCACGCUUCUGGGGCCUUCCUUACCCCACUCUGCCCAUCCUCCUCCUAGCUCCGCAUCUGCCAGCUACUUUGGGGGACUAGGUUGGGAUUCUCCACUUUACCGAAGGCCUUCCAUGUGUCUAACUCCAGUUCUCUCUGUUGCAAGUUAAGCCGAAACUGAAAGACCAGAAACCAGCCUGGCCUAGUCAAAGAAAGUUAGGGCCCAACCAGCCUCUCCACAAGAAGCAGGGUAAGGUGGGGCAUUCAUCUCUCUGGACCCUUUUCCCCAGCCUGAGCCAGCCGCCACUUUGGUCAUUCCCAAGAGGAAGCUGAAGGUCCGUCGCAGGGAGGAGCCUGCCCAGGUACCUGAAUGUCCUUCCAGCUGGCUGCAGCUGCAGAGAGAAAAAGAAGACAUGAGAAGAUGGAGGUAAUGCUGGAAAUGAAGAAAAAGAUACUUCCUGAGAGAUGCUGGAUGAAGGAUCCAUGACCAGCAGAGCCAGAAUGGGAAGGAAGAAAGAGGAAGGACUGGGAGAGAAAGAUAAGCCCCCAUCCUGACCUCCUAGGACUUCCUGGAUGUGGGCAUUUCAGCUUCCCAAGCCCCUCUAUUUAGGAAGAAAACUCCAGGCUCCACCCAGAUAAAUACAGACUCCUCCUUCCUACCUAAUCCAGGCUCAGGAUGGGAGGCCCAGUCUCCUCUCUCAUGCUGCUCCCCAACGGAAGUGGUAUGGGGUGGGGGCUCUCCCGAGGGGCAUUUUCUCCUCUCAGAACAAGAGCCCUGUGUACGACCCUCUCUGCUGUUUGGAGAAGGCCUCUGGGCCUAAAGCCAAUAAGGACUGAAUUUCCUGGGA